UCGUAGAUCAGAAUGCUACGGUGAAUACGUUCCCGGGCCUUGUACACACCGCCCGUCACACCAUGGGAGUGGGUUGCAAAAGAAGUAGGUAGCUUAACCUUCGGGAGGGCGCUUACCACUUUGUGAUUCAUGACUGGGGUGAAGUCGUAACAAGGUAACCGUAGGGGAACCUGCGGUUGGAUCACCUCCUUA
rnacentral:rRNA from 3 species